UACAGUCAUAUCAUGUUGAAACACCAGUUCCCAUACCAUCACUAAAGUUAAGCAACAUUGAGCUUGGUCAGUACCUAAAUAGGUGACCACUUGGGAAUAUCAGGUGCUGUAAG